GGGUUGUGAGGUUAAGCGACUAAGCGUACACGGUGGAUGCCCUGGCAGUCAGAGGCGAUGAAGGACGUGCUAAUCUGCGAAAAGCGUCGGUAAGGUGAUAUGAACCGUUAUAACCGGCGAUGUCCGAAUGGGGAAACCCAGUGCAAUUCGUUGCACUAUCGUUAACUGAAUACAUAGGUUAACGAGGCGAACCGGGGGAACUGAAACAUCUAAGUACCCCGAGGAAAAGAAAUCAACCGAGAUUCCCCCAGUAGCGGCGAGCGAACGGGGAGCAGCCCAGAGUCUGAAUCAGCUUGUGUGUUAGUGGAACGGUCUGGAAAGUCCGACGGUACAGGGUGAUAGUCCCGUACACCAAAAUGCACAGGUUGUGAACUCGAAGAGUAGGGCGGGACACGUGGUAUCCUGUCUGAAUAUGGGGGGACCAUCCUCCAAGGCUAAAUACUCCUGACUGACCGAUAGUGAACCAGUACCGUGAGGGAAAGGCGAAAAGAACCCCGGCGAGGGGAGUGAAAAAGAACCUGAAACCGUGUACGUACAAGCAGUGGGAGCACCUUCGGGUGUGACUGCGUACCUUUUGUAUAAUGGGUCAGCGACUUAUAUUCUGUAGCAAGGUUAACCGUAUAGGGGAGCCGCAGGGAAACCGAGUCUUAACUGGGCGUUAAGUUGCAGGGUAUAGACCCGAAACCCGGUGAUCUAGCCAUGGGCAGGUUGAAGGUUGGGUAACACUAACUGGAGGACCGAACCGACUAAUGUUGAAAAAUUAGCGGAUGACUUGUGGCUGGGGGUGAAAGGCCAAUCAAACCGGGAGAUAGCUGGUUCUCCCCGAAAGCUAUUUAGGUAGCGCCUCGUGAACUCAUCUUCGGGGGUAGAGCACUGUUUCGGCUAGGGGGUCAUCCCGACUUACCAACCCGAUGCAAACUACGAAUACCGAAGAAUGUUAUCACGGGAGACACACGGCGGGUGCUAACGUCCGUCGUGAAGAGGGAAACAACCCAGACCGCCAGCUAAGGUCCCAAAGUCAUGGUUAAGUGGGAAACGAUGUGGGAAGGCACAGACAGCCAGGAUGUUGGCUUAGAAGCAGCCAUCAUUUAAAGAAAGCGUAAUAGCUCACUGGUCGAGUCGGCCUGCGCGGAAGAUGUAACGGGGCUAAACCAUGCACCGAAGCUGCGGCAGCGACACUAUGUGUUGUUGGGUAGGGGAGCGUUCUGUAAGCCUGCGAAGGUGUGCUGUGAGGCAUGCUGGAGGUAUCAGAAGUGCGAAUGCUGACAUAAGUAACGAUAAAGCGGGUGAAAAGCCCGCUCGCCGGAAGACCAAGGGUUCCUGUCCAACGUUAAUCGGGGCAGGGUGAGUCGACCCCUAAGGCGAGGCCGAAAGGCGUAGUCGAUGGGAAACAGGUUAAUAUUCCUGUACUUGGUGUUACUGCGAAGGGGGGACGGAGAAGGCUAUGUUAGCCGGGCGACGGUUGUCCCGGUUUAAGCAUGUAGGCUGGUUAUCCAGGCAAAUCCGGAUAAUCAAGGCUGAGGUGUGAUGACGAGGCACUACGGUGCUGAAGUAACAAAUGCCCUGCUUCCAGGAAAAGCCUCUAAGCAUCAGGUAACAUCAAAUCGUACCCCAAACCGACACAGGUGGUCAGGUAGAGAAUACCAAGGCGCUUGAGAGAACUCGGGUGAAGGAACUAGGCAAAAUGGUGCCGUAACUUCGGGAGAAGGCACGCUGGUGUGUAGGUGAAGUCCCUGCGGAUGGAGCUGAGACCAGUCGAAGAUACCAGCUGGCUGCAACUGUUUAUUAAAAACACAGCACUGUGCAAACACGAAAGUGGACGUAUACGGUGUGACGCCUGCCCGGUGCCGGAAGGUUAAUUGAUGGGGUUAUCCGUAAGGAGAAGCUCUUGAUCGAAGCCCCGGUAAACGGCGGCCGUAACUAUAACGGUCCUAAGGUAGCGAAAUUCCUUGUCGGGUAAGUUCCGACCUGCACGAAUGGCGUAAUGAUGGCCAGGCUGUCUCCACCCGAGACUCAGUGAAAUUGAACUCGCUGUGAAGAUGCAGUGUACCCGCGGCAAGACGGAAAGACCCCGUGAACCUUUACUAUAGCUUGACACUGAACAUUGAGCCUUGAUGUGUAGGAUAGGUGGGAGGCUUUGAAGCGUGGACGCCAGUCUGCGUGGAGCCAACCUUGAAAUACCACCCUUUAAUGUUUGAUGUUCUAACGUUGGCCCCUGACCGGGGUUGCGGACAGUGUCUGGUGGGUAGUUUGACUGGGGCGGUCUCCUCCCAAAGCGUAACGGAGGAGCACGAAGGUUAGCUAAUCCUGGUCGGACAUCAGGAGGUUAGUGCAAUGGCAUAAGCUAGCUUGACUGCGAGCGUGACGGCGCGAGCAGGUGCGAAAGCAGGUCAUAGUGAUCCGGUGGUUCUGAAUGGAAGGGCCAUCGCUCAACGGAUAAAAGGUACUCCGGGGAUAACAGGCUGAUACCGCCCAAGAGUUCAUAUCGACGGCGGUGUUUGGCACCUCGAUGUCGGCUCAUCACAUCCUGGGGCUGAAGUAGGUCCCAAGGGUAUGGCUGUUCGCCAUUUAAAGUGGUACGCGAGCUGGGUUUAGAACGUCGUGAGACAGUUCGGUCCCUAUCUGCCGUGGGCGCUGGAGAAUUGAGGGGGGCUGCUCCUAGUACGAGAGGACCGGAGUGGACGCAUCACUGGUGUUCGGGUUGUCAUGCCAAUGGCACUGCCCGGUAGCUAAAUGCGGAAGAGAUAAGUGCUGAAAGCAUCUAAGCACGAAACUUGCCCCGAGAUGAGUUCUCCCUGAGACU
rnacentral:rRNA from 2 species